rnacentral:lncRNA from 1 species
CUGCUGGGAGCGGUGCGUGGUCGUGGCCGGGCUUGAAUCGUCGAGCUCAGGCAGGGCAGCUUGGUUGCCUUGGAAGCAGAGGAGCAGACCCCUUGUUGCGGGACAGGGCCGGUGCCUAGGUGCGUCCCUCCUCCUCGAGCAGGACAAGGCCAUGUUCCCGGCUAGAACUGGCGUCCUCCUGUCGUCGUUGCCGUCCACGCCAUGGGCGGUCUGCAGAAAAGUAAGAGAACUAGAGAAGGUUAGUUUGCAGAGCUACAAGCUACAGUGUGUAACAAAGAUAUUCAAUCUAUUCAGCAAAACCAACACAAAAAUAUAUGAUAGUCUGCAGAACAACAUAGCAUCAUUCACAAGCAAAGUAUAGGAUGCAAACAACAAGUAGUACCAUAAUUCUCAUCACAGUCAUACAUUGAAUUCAUUAAAGGCUACAGAUUCAUAGAAUUCAUUAAAGGCUACAGAUUCAUAGAAUUCAUUAAAGGCUACAAAUAAAAAUAGGUAGAUUUCUUUCUUCUCUUUGAUUUAUGCUAGCAGAGAUGUAGCAGGCAGGAAGGUGGGAAGCAAUACAUAUGCAUGUAUGUAUGAAGCAGAUCAUGAAAAGAGCAACAUCUAUUUAACUUGAUUGCCUUGCAGAUGACACACAAGAUGAAGAGCGCUUGGACAGAAGCGAUGGACGCCACGAACUGGCAGAUCACAGAUUUCUCCAUAAGUACAGAAGUAGUAUUUGCAUCAGUACAGCAACACUAGCACGUAGUACAAACAUGGUAUCACAGACAUUCUCUAAUUGACUAGCACCCAAAUAUAUACAUGCACCAGUUCAGGAAAUUCAUAGACCUAUAUAAGAGAGCACUCGAUUCAGCAAGAAGAUACAGUGGAUAUAUCAAGAUUUGAUAUGCCCCAAUCUCUGAAGAUUUGUAUGUGCAAAUCUGCAGAUUCAGGUGUAGUGAUUCAAACCAUACGUAACUACAGAUUUUUUUACAGUAAAAACUGUGUGUACAAAUCUGAAUAUAGCAAACACAAAGUGCAUUCAGGAUCCACUUCCCAACAUCUAAAUUCACCGAACAUGUCCUAAAAUUAGCACAACUAGAAAGUACAGAGAUAAGAACAGCAAUGCACAUCUAAGAGGUGGCAAUCAAUUGGUCCAACAAUACAAUAUAGAAGCUCAGUUGCAAUAAAUAACUACAUGCCUACAUCAGCUCAAAGUGGCAGUAGCUCAAAAACAAGCAAAACAACUGUUGAUAAGCAAAGGCAAAAGGCUAAAACACAUGUUUGGCCAGAAAAACUAAAAGCUAAAUCAUGUCAUUUCAGCGAGAAUGACUCAUGUAGUUAUAGGCAAAGUACAAAACUAGCGACCUAGAAAACACGUCGGCAAGUUACAGAUAACUGAUCAAUGAUAGACACAGACGGCGGUCUGCGCAAGAUGGAGACGCCUCUCGACUGGCGACGUACACGUCCAGGUAAACUAUCCAGCAGCAUGCAGUAGAGCACCUGCACCCUACAUCCACACAUAUACGAAUCAUUCAACAAGCCCAUCAACAAGAAAGGAGAUUGAGAUUUCAAAGUGGGGAGGAAGCAACUAACCAUCCAAAGAAGAUGGACCAGUUAUAGAUGGAGAGGUAGGCACGCUUGAGUGUGGACGCCGUCGCUGCUGCCGUCAUCUGGAUCGGGGUGUCAGGGAGGAAGCAAUCCGAAGCAAGAAGAACUGAGAAAAAUGAAAAGUAUCAGCGGCCAGAAGCAUGUAGGCAACAGUACUAGAUAAUUUGUUGCUGCAUAUAAAUACUGAAUUACAACAGCGGACAUGCUUUGAAAACUACACUACAUUACAUAUUACAGCAGCAUGAUAAAAAUGUACUCAAAUAUAUUCACAGAAGCACACAGACUAUAUAUAGUCCUUUCACAAUUGGAGUAAGAAAUGCAAGG